CAGGGAAUAUUGCACAAUGGGCGAAAGCCUGAUGCAGCGACACCGCGUGCGGGAUGAAGGCCUUCGGGUUGUAAACCGCUUUCAGGAGGGAAGAAACUGACGGUACCUCCAGAAGAAGCUCCGGCCAACUACGUGCCAGCAGCCGCGGUAAUACGUAGGGAGCGAACGUUGUCCGGAUUUAUUGGGCGUAAAGGGCUCGUAGGCGGUUCAACAAGUCGGUCGUGAAAGCCCGGAGCUCAACUCCGGGAUGCCGGUCGAAACUGUUGUGACUUGAGUUCGGUAGAGGUGAGUGGAAUUCUCGGUGUAGCGGUGGAAUGCGCAGAUAUCGAGAGGAACACCAUUAGCGAAGGCGGCUCACUGGGCCGAUACUGACGCUGAGGAGCGAAAGCGUGGGGAGCAAACAGGAUUAGAUACCCCCGUAGUCC
rnacentral:rRNA from 1 species